AAAGUCGUAACAAGGUUUCCGUAGGUGAACCUGCGGAAGGACCAUCAACAAAUUCCGAAUGAAGCCGGUUGGCACCCCUUUUGGGGUGCCUCGGCCAGGCCAAUCUCCGGUCUGAACUCUUCUUGAGCAGAGCUCUCAUCACAUUUUUGUGCGAUGGUGGUCCCACCUCUCUGUGAGGUGACCAACAGCCAUUGAAAAACACAACUUUUGACAACGGAUCUCUUGGCUCUC
rnacentral:misc_RNA from 1 species